AUAAGAAACGGCAACACAUUUCGAUAAAUCCGAUCAGAGCAUGCCGUUCUUAAGUUUAUUUUUUUAUUGACAUUUGUUUAUACUUCUGUGAAAAUUUGUGGAUCGUUUCGUAUAUUGAAAUUGAAAAUUAUUCGUGCCAUGGUCAAUCUUACCAAGCCAUCAAUUUUCUACGAUGGUUCCGGAAGCAGCUGCCCUUUGGUUAAUACUUUCUUCGGAUCGAAGCAAAAAUGCUAACAUCGAUCUGAUCGGUCUAAUUCAAAACUGGAAUCGAUACGGUUAGUGGUAUGCGAAGAAUUUAACUAUCCGUUUCACCACGAACGCUCGUUCCGGGGGCGGAGAUGCACAUAUGCAACACCUGGAAGAUCAUCAGUUAUGCUUGGACAGCGAAGUUGAGCAGUAUGAUGCUAACAAUAAAAAGUUUCAAUUCUUAGUGGCCAGUAGUGGUAACGUUGCCUCAAGUGCAACACCGAAAGUGUCAAAAAUAAUAUCCUUCUGGUGUGCAAUAUCCUGUAUCCUACCAACACCAACAACAGACAUGUCGACGGAACAUUUGCGUCAAUUUUGAAAAAUUAUAUGUCCGGUGAAAAAACUACAUCGGCCUGGUGUGAAAAGUGCAACAAUUUUACCCACACUAAUCAAAAGAGUCGUCAGCCAUCUGUCGGAAAUUAUGUCGGUUAACUGUCCAAGUGUCCAGAGAUGCCAGAUUUGCAGACAAGUCUGCAAAUUCGCAGACUUUUAAUUUAAGCUGCAGAUUUUUUCGAUGACGCAGAUAUUUGCAGAUUUUCUAGUUUGGUUGCAGAUAUUUGCAGAUUUUUUAGUUUUGUUGCAGAUAUUUGCAGAUUUUUGAAUAUAAAGGCUUUUGGUUACACUAGCUUUCCUGACAUUUUUGUUCUUCCCAGACAUUUAAAAUUAUUGUUGCAGACAUUUGAAAAAAGUACCUGGCAUCUCUGCAAGUGUCUAGCGAUGGGCACUGGUGCAAACGUAGGUAAUGGGAUUAUGUGUCGUUACGGGUAGAUGGUCGCUUUUUCCAUGCGAGAAAUCCCCACCGUCGUUCAACUCGAAUGCGUCUAAUCAAGGUCAGCAGAAAUAAUGGCUCCCACUAGGCUUCCGAAUGAUGUUGGAUGUGAAGGAGAAUUUGAAAAUUGGAUCGUUGAAAACUGCUUCCAGCUGUUCUAAAGAUAUGCCGUUUCGGAAAUCAAAAAGUAUCGCUUGUCAGCGGCCGGCGUUUACAUCAAUGACAGAACUCGGCGUAAUCUGGUAGCUUUGGUGCACGUACCAAAGAGCUAUCAUCAUGAUCUCAACUCUGGUGCCCAGAAAAUUCUCAAUUUUUACCACAAUAUCCAUUGACGCAAACACAUUCAUGUCCCAUUUGUCUAGUCGAACACAGACCGUUCAGGCAGGGUGAGUUAGCGCAGAAAUCAACCUUAAUCUUACAAUGUCGCCCCAUGUAAUCCGGUUUACAGUUGGAGUGAUAGUCAUUCACAAGUUAAACGUAGUCCAGCGUUCCUGGAUAUGAGCAUGAAUUCGAAAGACACUCGUUGAUGGCUUCUUCGCACCGUGAUCCCACAAACCAGGGCGGACUAUAACACUCCAUUUCACUAACUUUCAGCAAAUAUCUUACUGUAACAGGCAUCAGGAGUACAGUCUUACAGUGUUUAUUGUGGAGCAUUUCAAUCAAUUAAACACACGAUGUCACCUCACCGAACAUGUAGUUCAUGGCUGAAAAUAACUACUCUCCACUGCAGGCUACCCAAGGUACAAUUCUUUGAAUGUUUCAACCCGUACCAGAAUGCUGGGGUCAUACAUGGGUCAACGCUGAUUGAUUAAUCAAGCUCUUGAAAAUUACUCGAUUAACAGAUAAUCGAUUAUUCGCAAAAAUCAGAUAUCACUACCCCCACCAAAAGAUACGUGAAGCGUGAAGAUUUUCAACGAACACCAUCAAGACUUCGGAAAAGAUUGGUUGUGUCUUGCCUGACCCGAUGAAUCCAACAUAAACUUCAAUUAUGCGUACAGGUCUGUGUGGAUAUGGAUGAAGUGAUAAAAUUAAAUAGUGUUUCAAAGA